rnacentral:rRNA from 1 species
CGGAUUGUAGUCUGCAACCCGACUACAUGAAGCUGGAAUCGCUAGUAAUCGCGAAUCAGAAUGUCGCGGUGAAUACGUUCCCGGGUCUUGUACACACCGCCCGUCACACCAUGGGAGUCGGAAAUGCCCGAAGUCAGUGACCUAACCGAAAGGGAGGAGCUGCCGAAGGUGGAGCCGGUAACUGGGGUGAAGUCGUAACAAGGUAGC